GGCGCCUAAACAAAUAUAUACUAGUUCAGUGAUAAUGAACGCCAUACUAAACUCCAAAUUGUACACAAGAAACUAAAAUUAAAAUAAUACAAGACUAAUAAAGGUCUCCUGACUUGGGACAGGCGCAAAAAUGCAGCAGGGUUAAACAUGUUUAUGAGAUCUCAACCCUCCCCUAUACCUCUAGCCAAUGUAGAAAAGUAAACGCAUAACAAUACGCACAUUAAAAUUCAGUUCAAGAGAAGUCAGAGUCUGAUGUCAG
rnacentral:lncRNA from 1 species